rnacentral:rRNA from 1 species
AUGCUAAUUGCUCAGAUUGAGGGGAAGAUCAGUCGGCUGCACCAAGGUGAUGACAUGUCAGUGAUGGCAUAUGUGGCAGAGUUGCCGGCUUUGUGGGCCGAGCAGGAUAACUGUGAUCCUCUGGAACUCUAUGAUGCGGCUUGCAUCGAGUCAGAGCGCAAGUGGAUUGCGCGCAGGCGUGUGCUGAAACUGUUGGAGGGGCUCAGAGGUUGCUUUAAUGGCAGGAGGGCAUCCCUGUUGCACCAACCUCUCCUGCCUACUAUUGAGGAGACUAUUGCAGCCAUGUCUCAAGAGGAGGUGCGGCUAUCUCUUGAGCAUGUAGAAGUGAAGGCUGUGCCGCCUUCGACAUUUGCAGUUGCAUGGAGUGGACAGAUCCCAACAAAUGUCAUAUCUAUGGGGAGGUAG